UAAGGCAGGUGUUUACCUAUCACUGUAUUUCUACAUUCUAAGUAAGAAAAUCAUCUUAGGAGCUCCAAAAGUUUCUCUAUGAAUGCCAUGCGCUCACUAUAAGCUGAGAAACAAUGAGCACUCAACAUCAGUGUGAGAAUUAUUAGAUUAUAAGUAUUGUCGGAGAUUUAGUAAGUAAUGGCUAAGAUUUCUUAUACCUCCUUCAUCAUCCUUGCUAUCCUUGUCUUCUCAGUUGUAUCGUUGAUGGUGAUGAAAGCAGAUGUGCAGCAAAAGGGGUAGUGCUGCGAAAUAUUGUAUCCCGAUAACUGUGAUCUAAAAGAUUGUCAAGAUAAGUGCGUCCAAAAGU